rnacentral:rRNA from 1 species
UACGGGGGGGGCAAGCGUUGUUCGGAAUUACUGGGCGUAAAGGGCUCGUAGGUGGCCAACUAAGUCAGACGUGAAAUCCCUCGGCUUAACCGGGGAACUGCGUCUGAUACUGGAUGGCUUGAGUUUGGGAGAGGGACGCGGAAUUCCAGGUGUAGCGGUGAAAUGCGUAGAUAUCUGGAGGAACACCGGUGGCGAAGGCGGCGUCCUGGACCAACACUGACACUGAGGAGCGAAAGCCAGGGAGCAAAGCGGG